AACGUAGGAGACAAACGUUAUCCGGAGUUACUGGGCGUAAAGGGCGUGUAGGCGGUUUGUUAAGUCUGGCGUGAAAGCUCUCGGCUAAACCGGGAGAGGUCGUUGGAUACUGGCAAACUAGAGGAUGGUAGAGGCGUGUGGAAUUCCGGGUGUAGUGGUGAAAUGCGUAGAUAUCAAGUGGAACACCAGUGGCGAAGGCGAGUCUCUGGACAUUUCCUGACGCUGAGGCACGAAAGCCAGGGGAGCAAACGGG
rnacentral:rRNA from 1 species